rnacentral:misc_RNA from 1 species
CGCACAUUGCGCCCCGUGGUAUUCCGCGGGGCAUGCCUGUUCGAGCGUUAUUUCAAACUUCUCCACCUACGGCGCUGUUUAUGGCGCACCAAGUGGGCUUUGAGUUUUUAUCCUGUUUGGCUUCAAAUGGGAAAUGCUCUAAAUGUGUGGACAGCAGUGAUGAGCCUUGAAAUGCAGUGACUUGCAAUAUUUCAAAUAGGUCAUUAUCUGCUUUGUCAUUGGGAAUCAGCUUCCCGCGUAUUCAUUUCUAACCUCGAAUCAGGUAGGGAUACCCGCUGAACUUAA